CUACAAAUAGUAUACUAUGCAAUACUAUACAAUACAUUAAUGGCUUGUUCACUCGCCUGGAUUUUUUAUGGGAUAUGAGUUGUCAGAUCAAAGCUAAUUUUAUUGUCAAUGGUUCCAUUAACAAUCGAAAAGAGUUUUUUUUUUAUUGUUUAGUUCUAAGCCAGCAACCCAACAAACUAGUGACCGCCGCCAUUAACUAAAUCAUUCUGAACCGAACUUAGUCAAUGAAAACAAGAGAGCAGAGGCUGAUUUGCAUGGAUGGACGUUAGAAAACUUGAAAAGUCAUGGUGGAAAAUCAUCAUCCCUGAACCCUUCAUUUCCCCCUCUGUCCAGGGAUGUGACCCCUUUUUUUCUAUACAAUUUGCUAGGUUUAAUUUAGUGGAAUUUGAACUGCUGUUAGGUUUGCCCAGCAAAAUGAGUGUUAAUUUUCCACUUGGAGGGUACCUACCUAUGGCGCAAGCAAGUGCAAAAACUAACCUUGGCUUGGUGAUCGACAUCCUAGUAACAUUAUGGCUCAUUGCUACCAGUAGAUACUGAAUGAAAUAAAGCGUGGAAAGAAAACAGUUACUUUUGGGAUUUUCCCAUAUUUGUUUUCUGCAGCGGGAAGAUCAUGCAUAUUGACUUUGGAGAUUGCUUUGAAGUGUCAAUAUACCUGGGAAAGUUCCCUGAGAAGGUUCCUUUUCUCCUGCCUAGAAUGCUCGUGAUAGCCAUGGAGGUUAUUAGUGGUACAGGGGGGAGUUUCUGCUUUACUUUCGAAGACAUGAUGCAAGUUCUUAGAACUGUGUUGUGGCUAGAAUGGAGAUAAUUGUGUUAUGGCUAGAAUGGAGGUACUAAUACUGAAAUUGAUUGUUCCAUUUUGUGUUUCUGUGUCCCUUCUUAUUUUGUCUUCUGAGUAUCUUUUUUAUUGGUCGGGGUCAUUUUGCACUACGGCUACUUAAUUUCUCACUGUCAAUUAAAGUUGGCCUGGUCGGAUACUUCUCAACUGCUCAUUUCUCAGUCUCGGUUAUUGGUUCUGCACGAGGAGGCUUGUCUUUCCACCCGACCCAAUGUGUAAUAAGGUUUGCUCAGCUCAUUUAGGCAUUGCUGCUGUUCGCUCAAGAAACUUCACCUUGUGAACUGUGCAGAUGGACUCGUGAGCUGGUGCUUACUUAGGUUUGUGAUGGAGAAGCUGGUCAUGGUGGUGCAUCUGAGAGUACUCAAGGGAAUGGCAAUGGAGCUACAAAACAUGCAUGCAUGGUUGUAGUGCAGUGUGGAGUCAAGAAGAGAAUGUAGAUAAUGCUGGUUUAAGUCGUCCAUAGAUGUAUCGGAGACCAGAAUUAAUGUCAGUGUCUUAUUUGAUCAAACAGGUAAAAUCAGGUUGAAUGGCUUGCUUGCAUUCUAUAUAUAAUUCUCAGUUCAUUGAAAA